UCUAGAAAAAUGUUAAAACGCCAUAGAACUAGUACUAGAGUAGACUAGGUAGAAAGACACUCAGAAUCCACUUUUCGCCAUUUUUUUCCCAUUUUUUUUUCACUUUUUUUUUUUCAGAGCGCGAUCUGAGCGUUCUGGGGUAAUUUUUAAA
rnacentral:ribozyme from 15 species